rnacentral:tRNA from 3 species
ACUAUUUUGGCAGAUUAGUGCAAUAAAUUUAGAAUUUAUUUAUGUGAAUUUUUAUCACAAAUAGUA